GGAGAUGUAGCUCAAAUAGUAGAGUGCUCGCUUUGCAUGCGAGAGGUACGGGGAACAAUACACCGCAUAUCCA
rnacentral:tRNA from 1 species